CAGAUGUGUUUUUGAUGUCCCCAUGUCCCCCCAGCUGUCCCCAGCUGUCCCCAGGUGUCCCCAGAUGUCCCCAGCUGUCCCCAGAGGUGUCCCCAGAUGUCCCCAGAGAUGUCCCCAGCUGUCCCCUCACCUCUUUGCUGUCACAGGGGGGUCUCUCUGGCGCCUGCAGCUGGAACAGGAAGUUCUGCUCCUCCAGGGCGCUGAGGGGACACGGCCACCCCGCGUGGCCACCGGGGACGCGGCAGAAGGCGCCCACGGGGACCUCCCCGGAGUGGUGGCUGCAGGGGACAUCAUUGGGGACAUCACUGGGGACAUCCCUGGGGACAUCCCUGGGGACAUCCCUGGGGACAUCCCUGGGGACGGCCUUGGGGACGUCGGGGACCAGGGGAACAUGGGGGAAAAGGGUUCUUGUGGUGUCCCCAUGGUGUCCCCAAGGUGUCCCCAAGGUGUCCCCAAGGUUCUCGUGGUGUCCCCAAGGUUCUCAAGGUGUCCCCAAGGUGUCCCCAUGGUGUCCCCAAGGUUCUUGUGGUGUCCCCAA
rnacentral:lncRNA from 1 species